GGAGGCCAAGGUCAAGUUGAAAGUUACAGUCC
rnacentral:sRNA from 1 species